rnacentral:lncRNA from 1 species
CCUUUCCGUCUAGCACAAGAACUGUGCCUCUGUCUUGUCACAGCCUUUAAAUCAUUCAUUUAGUAAACAUCAAAUACAAUGUCUACUCUUGGAUACUUAUAGAAGCAAGAUUUUAUGUAAGGUAAUAUGACAUCAUUUGCAUAAUCAUCAAACUUGUUGGCCUGUAGUUAACCAUUGCUGCCCCGCCAACGAUAAAUACGUCACCCGGC